AGUGAACGCUGGCGGUAGGCCUAACACAUGCAAGUUGAACGGCAGCACAGUAAGAGCUUGCUCUUACGGGUGGCGAGUGGCGGACGGGUGAGGAAUACAUCGGAAUCUACUUUUUCGUGGGGGAUAACGUAGGGAAACUUACGCUAAUACCGCAUACGACCUACGGGUGAAAGCAGGGGAUCUUCGGACCUUGCGCGAUUGAAUGAGCCGAUGUCGGAUUAGCUAGUUGGCGGGGUAAAGGCCCACCAAGGCGACGAUCCGUAGCUGGUCUGAGAGGAUGAUCAGCCACACUGGAACUGAGACACGGUCCAGACUCCUACGGGAGGCAGCAGUGGGGAAUAUUGGACAAUGGGCGCAAGCCUGAUCCAGCCAUACCGCGUGGGUGAAGAAGGCCUUCGGGUUGUAAAGCCCUUUUGUUGGGAAAGAAAAGCAGAAGGUUAAUACCCCGCUGUUCUGACGGUACCCAAAGAAUAAGCACCGGCUAACUUCGUG
rnacentral:rRNA from 1 species